rnacentral:rRNA from 1 species
CCUACGGGCGGCAGCAGUGAGGAAUAUUGGUCAAUGGACGAGAGUCUGAACCAGCCAAGUAGCGUGAAGGAUGACUGCCCUAUGGGUUGUAAACUUCUUUUAUAUGGGAAUAAAACGUUCCACGUGUGGGAUUUUGUAUGUACCAUAUGAAUAAGGAUCGGCUAACUCCGUGCCAGCAGCCGCGGUAAUACGGAGGAUCCGAGCGUUAUCCGGAUUUAUUGGGUUUAAAGGGAGCGUAGGUGGAUUGUUAAGUCAGUUGUGAAAGUUUGCGGCUCAACCGUAAAAUUGCAGUUGAAACUGGCAGUCUUGAGUACAGUAGAGGUGAGCGGAAUUCGUGGUGUAGCGGUGAAAUGCUUAGAUAUCACGAAGAACUCCGAUUGCGAAGGCAGUUCACUGGACUGCAACUGACACUGAGGCUCGAAAGUGUGGGUAUCAAACAGGAUUAGUACCCGAGUAGUC